rnacentral:rRNA from 1 species
AACGAACGCUGGCGGCAGGCUUAACACAUGCAAGUCGAGAGACCUUCGGGUCUAGCGGCGGACGGGUGAGUAACGCGUGGGAACGUGCCCUUCUCUACGGAAUAGCCCCGGGAAACUGGGAGUAAUACCGUAUACGCCCUUUGGGGGGAAAGAUUUAUCGGAGAAGGAUCGGCCCGCGUUGGAUUAGGUAGUUGGUGGGGUAAUGGCCCACCAAGCCGACGAUCCAUAGCUGGUUUGAGAGGAUGAUCAGCCACACUGGGACUGAGACACGGCCCAGACUCCUACGGGAGGCAGCAGUGGGGAAUUCUUAGACAAUGGGGGCAAACCCUGAUCUAGCCAUGCC